CCCAGGGCUUACGACCUGGGCUAUUCACUGUCACCCCGUUGGGGUU
rnacentral:sRNA from 1 species